rnacentral:lncRNA from 1 species
AAAACCUUAGAGUCCUUCGGAUAAGCUACCUGCGGAUCAGGGGGGAAGUCAUUGCAAGCUGAACAGAAGGCUUUGUGUUGAAGGACAGCCAUUGAAGUUCAAAAGGCUUAGCCGAGGUCAAGCUGGCAAUGUCAGGGUCCAGAACUGAAACCCGGUGGAGAGAGGAAGGAUCUUAUGGGUCAAGUGAAGCUGAUUAAAACGUAGAGGAACAUGGACAACAGAUAGAAGCAGAUAAGGGAGGAUUAAGAGACCU